UGGGUAUUGGAAUUGAAUUGG
rnacentral:piRNA from 1 species